CCUACGGGAGGCAGCAGUGGGGAAUAUUGGACAAUGGGGGCAACCCUGAUCCAGCAAUUCUGUGUGCACGAAGACGGUUUUCGGAUUGUAAAGUGCUUUCAGCAGGGAAGAAGGAAGUGACGGUACCUGCAGAAGAAGCGACGGCUAAAUACGUGCCAGCAGCCGCGGUAAUACGUAUGUCGCGAGCGUUAUCCGGAAUUAUUGGGCAUAAAGGGCAUCUAGGCGGCCUGACAAGUCAGGGGUGAAAACCUGCGGCUCAACCGCAGGCCUGCCUUUGAAACUGACAGGCUGGAGUACCGGAGAGGUGGACGGAACUGCACGAGUAGAGGUGAAAUUCGUAGAUAUGUGCAGGAAUGCCGAUGAUGAAGAUAGUUCACUGGACGGUAACUGACGCUGAAGUGCGAAAGCCGGGGGAGCGAACAGGAUUAGAUACCCUAGUAGUC
rnacentral:rRNA from 1 species